GGUGAAACAUCGGUUCCCGUACGAUCACAGAAGUUAAGCAACGUCGAGCCUGGUCAGAACCUAGAUGGGUGACCCCUUGGAAAUAGAAAGUGCUGUAAG